UGGUAAGAGAACUGAACGCCGCUGAGCCUCUUGCCGUCGCCGGAACCUCUCUCCGCCGCCGGUCUCUGUCACCACUCGCCGUGUCCCUCCUCGCUGAAGCUUAGAGAUUUAAGGAGGCAUGUUUUAUCUGAGUGUAUUAGAACACACACUGAGGUUGCCGCCUCAUCUCCUGAACCUUCCACUCAAUGAAGCAAUCAAAGGAGAGCUUGAGGGUCUCUUCGUGGAUAAGGUUAUUGCAAAUUUGGGCCUCGGCAUAUCUAUUUAUGAUAUUCGCUCCGUAGAUGACGGUUUUAUCUAUCCAAGUGAAGGUGCCUCCACAUAUAAGGUCAAGUUUAGACUGGUAGUGUUUCGCCCAUUUGUAGGAGAAGUAAUAAGUGCUAA
rnacentral:misc_RNA from 1 species